GAAUGACGGAAUUCUCUGUCCCAUCCCCCAAUAUCCUCUUUAUUCUGCUUCGAUUGCUCUCCAUGGUGGCACUCUCGUUCCUUAUUAUCUUGAUGAGGAAACAGGAUGGGGACUUGAGGUCUCAGAGCUUGAGAAUCAGCUGAAAACUGCAAAAUCUAAGGGUAUUAACGUUAGGGCUUUGGCUGUGAUCAAUCCAGGCAACCCAACUGGGCAGGUUCUCGCUGAGGCUAACCAACGAGAAAUUGUGGAAUUCUGCAAGAAAGAAGGCCUUGUUCUUCUGGCGGAUGAAGUGUAUCAGGAAAAUGUUUAUGUGCCUGAGAAGCAGUUCCACUCAUUUAAGAAAGUUGCCCGCUCUAUGGGAUUUGGAGAAAAGGACAUCUCUUUAGUUUCUUUUCAGUCUGUGUCUAAAGGAUUCUAUGGAGAGUGUGGAAAGCGAGGAGGUUACAUGGAGGUUACUGGAUUUAGCCCUGAGAUAAGAGAACAGAUAUACAAAGUGGCAUCUGUCAAUCUGUGUUCCAACAUUUCUGGUCAGAUUCUUGCGAGCCUUGUCAUGAGCCCUCCGAAGGUGGGUGAUGAAUCAUACGAGUCUUUUGCUGCUGAGAAAGAAGGGAUACUUUCAUCCUUGGCAAGACGUGCAAAGACACUAGAAGAUGCAUUCAGUAAUUUGGAGGGAGUAACAUGCAAUAAAGCAGAGGGUGCAAUGUAUCUAUUUCCACGUAUCAACUUACCUGACAAAGCAAUAAAAGCAGCAGAAGAAGCUAAAAUUGCACCAGAUGCAUUUUAUGCUCGGCACCUCCUUAAUGCUACCGGAAUUGUUGUUGUCCCAGGCUCUGGAUUUGGCCAGCGUCCUGGAACGUGGCAUUUUAGGUGCACAAUAUUACCGCAAGAAGAGAAGAUACCAGCUAUUGUAUCUCGUCUUACAGAAUUCCAUAAGCUGUUCAUGGAUGAAUUCCGCGGCUAAGGAAUCAGAGAGUACUUGCUACCUGAACCUAACAACAGAGAAUUUUGAAUAAGCAGUGCCUGUUGACUCCUGCCUGCGUAUGUUUUGUCUGCCUACUUCUGUAGUAGAACUGUUAUGGGGUUUUACUGAAUCUACCUCAAUUUUAUAAUUAUAGUGAAAUGAGUUCAAGUCGAAAUCCCAACGGAAAGUUAAAUAAAUU
rnacentral:misc_RNA from 1 species